AUAAUGGGUCAGCGACUUAUAUUCUGUAGCAAGGUUAACCGAAUAGGGGAGCCGAAGGGAAACCGAGUCUUAACUGGGCGUUAAGUUGCAGGGUAUAGACCCGAAACCCGGUGAUCUAGCCAUGGGCAGGUUGAAGGUUGGGUAACACUAACUGGAGGACCGAACCGACUAAUGUUGAAAAAUUAGCGGAUGACUUGUGGCUGGGGGUGAAAGGCCAAUCAAACCGGGAGAUAGCUGGUUCUCCCCGAAAGCUAUUUAGGUAGCGCCUCGUGAAUUCAUCUCCGGGGGUAGAGCACUGUUUCGGCAAGGGGGUCAUCCCGACUUACCAACCCGAUGCAAACUGCGAAUACCGGAGAAUGUUAUCACGGGAGACACACGGCGGGUGCUAACGUCCGUCGUGAAGAGGGAAACAACCCAGACCGCCAGCUAAGGUCCCAAAGUCAUGGUUAAGUGGGAAACGAUGUGGGAAGGCCCAGACAGCCAGGAUGUUGGCUUAGAAGCAGCCAUCAUUUAAAGAAAGCGUAAUAGCUCACUGGUCGAGUCGGCCUGCGCGGAAGAUGUAACGGGGCUAAACCAUGCACCGAAGCUGCGGCAGCGACGCUGAUGCGUUGUUGGGUAGGGGAGCGUUCUGUAAGCCUGUGAAGGUGUGCUGUGAGGCAUGCUGGAGGUAUCAGAAGUGCGAAUGCUGACAUAAGUAACGAUAAAGCGGGUGAAAAGCCCGCUCGCCGGAAGACCAAGGGUUCCUGUCCAACGUUAAUCGGGGCAGGGUGAGUCGACCCCUAAGGCGAGGCCGAAAGGCGUAGUCGAUGGGAAACAGGUUAAUAUUCCUGUACUUGGUGUUACUGCGAAGGGGGGACGGAGAAGGCUAUGUUGGCCGGGCGA
rnacentral:rRNA from 1 species